rnacentral:lncRNA from 1 species
ACAUUUGCUUCCAUGGCCUCAAGCUUUAGGACACAUUCACUCUCAUUAGGAAGAAAGAGAUCUCUGUCUCUCCUGAGCACACGGCUUCAUAAACCAGCUGCACAAGCAACUGCAUCUGGGGAUCUGCUUCAAGAGAAACUUAACUAAAGCAAGAAUGGGCUCUAACUUCAGGAUACCUAGGAUUCUAACCUCGUUCCAUUACUUACCAACGAUAUGACCUGGGAAAAAUUAUAUACCUGCUGUAAGCCUCAAUGUCCUCAUUUGAAAUACACACAUAAUAGUAGGAUCUCUCUUACAAGGUUGCUGAAAAUAUAAACAGUGGUUAUCAAUGGAAAAAGCUUCUCUCAGUGCUUGGCAAAUAGGAAGCACUUAAUAAGUGUUUUCCGGUAUUUUUAUGAUUAUCAUCAUUACUAUAAUUCCCAAGGCACCCAAAACCCAUGCUAGUCCUCUGGAGACAUGAUUUCUCCAGCUCAAUUCAACUAGGCUGCUGGCUGCUGAGAAUAAUAGAAGAGCUGCAUUUUUAGAGACGGCAGCCAGGAGCUUGUGAUAGAAUGGGGAGAAACAGAAUUCGAAUGAGCAGAAUCAGGAAGUCUGGAUAUUUCUGGAUGUUUUCUGCUCAUUCAAAUAAAUUUUGUAGACGUUUACAGAGUUCCAUGUGCCAGGAACUGUGGUAGGUUCUAGAUAUCCAAGAGGAAAUGUAUUUUAUUCUUUGCAAGGGGGGUUCAUUUUGUGAUGUAAUAGUAACUCCCUCAAGUAUUGGAUACAUAAAAGUAUAAAUGCUGGUUGUUAAAUUAUGACACACUGGAAAUUCUCAGGUAAGUUUCUAGGAAGUGAAAUAAAUAGGCUUGGGGAUACAUCUAGUUGUAAUAUAAUUAAGUUAGUUAUAUAAGCUUUUAAUGGAUUAUAUUUUUGUAAGUACCAAUACUUGUAAAAUUUUUGCUUUUAGCAAAUUAGGUACCAUUUGAAUACACUGGCUGAUGCUUAAUAAGAAUUAGAACUACAUUUUGCUUGUUGUGUAAGUAAAUAUCACGUUACAUGCUUGUUUAAUGUUUGUGAAAACCAUUCCAAACAAUCUCUUUAGAAUAAGAGUCUAAUUAC